UUGCUUCAGCAGCACAUAUACUAAAAUUGGAACAAUACAGAGUAGAUUAGCAUGGCUUCUGCACAAGGAUGACACACAAAUUUGUGAAACAUUCAAUAUUUUU
ensembl:snRNA U6 U6 spliceosomal RNA